UCUCUACACACACACACACCACACACAUUCUCUCUUUCUCUCUCACACAAACACACAUUCUCUCUCUCUCUCUCUUUCUGAGCUAAAAAUUGCUAGUAUAUGAUUGGGCACCAAGUUUAUGUCACUUCACACUGUCAAUCUACUCAGAACGAAGAAACCCAGUUUUGUUAGAAUAUUGCAUUUAUAAUACAAUCUCAAUUUUUGCUGAAAUUUAACUUUACUGCUCCUGCAAUUUUUUAAUCUCAAGGGGCUGUCAGCUACGCUUUGACAAGGUGCUGCCAAUUUUCGCGGAAUUCAGGAUAAGGGGUUUCUGAAAAUUUUGUUUGGUUAAAGUUAAAAAGUUGCUGCAGAGGUGGAUCCGGGAUGUGGCUGAACCCACGGACCAGUUGAGUUACUGGUUCGAAAUUUAAUAUUUAGUAGUUCUUAAAAACGUAUACAGGGUCUGAGCCUAAGCAACUGAGUUCAGCCGAAACCGUAGCUUCUACAGUGCAAUCGCCCCUGAGCUGGUGAUGAAUCAUUUGAUAGUUUUGAGGUGUGGGGUUGACUCAGUUUGGUAUUUGUAAUAAUGGGUUGUGUUUAUUCAAGAGCUUCUUGCAUUGGGGAGAUUUGUGCACCAAGAAAUGUGGAAGUUAAAGAACCUGAAAAUUUGAAAGCAGCUGCUGGAAUUGCUGUGUUUUCACCUGCUUCUUCAUCAGAUGGGGAAGAGGGAGAAAUUAGAGACCAACUAAAUCAAUUAAGUCUAUCUAGGGACAAUGAUAUUGGUAUCACUAGACUGUCAAGAGUCUCUGCACAAUUUUUACCGCCCGAUGGUUCCCGGGUUGUAAAAGUUCCGUCAGGGAAUUAUGAACUACGAUGUUCAUUUUUAUCUCAAAGAGGGUACUAUCCCGAUGCCCUUGAUAAAGCUAAUCAAGACAGUUUUUGCAUUCACACUCCGUUUGGAACAAGCCCAAAUGAUCAUUUCUUUGGUGUUUUUGAUGGCCAUGGAGAGUUUGGAGCUCAAUGCUCGCAGUUUGUGAAAAAGAAACUUUGUGAGAAUUUGCUUAGAAACAGUAAAUUUCAUUCAGAUGCUGUCGAGGCAUGUCAUGCGGCAUUCUUGAUGACCAAUACGCAGUUGCACGCUGAUGCUAUAGAUGAUAGCAUGAGCGGAACAACUGCAAUAACUAUACUCGUACGAGGUAGGACACUUUACAUUGCUAAUUCGGGUGAUUCAAGAGCUGUUAUAGCUGAGAGACAGGGUAACGAAAUUGUGGCUGUUGACUUAUCAAUCGACCAAACACCAUUUAGGCCUGAUGAGUCUGAGCGGGUUAAGCUCUGUGGAGCAAGAGUUCUUACACUGGAUCAGAUUGAAGGAUUGAAGAAUCCUGACGUGCAAUGUUGGGACACUGAAGAAGGUGAUGAUGGUGAUCCUCCAAGGUUGUGGGUGCCAAAUGGGAUGUAUCCUGGUACAGCUUUUACAAGAAGUAUAGGUGAUUCUGUGGCUGAGACAAUUGGUGUUGUUCCAAAUCCUGAAAUUGUUGUUUUGGAGCUCACCUCAAAUCAUCCUUUCUUUGUGAUUGCCAGUGAUGGGGUAUUUGAGUUUCUUUCAAGCCAAACCGUUGUGGAUAUGGUUGCAAAGUAUAAGGAUCCUCGUGAUGCUUGUGCUGCAAUUGUUGCUGAAUCAUACCGUCUUUGGCUACAGUAUGAAACUCGCACAGAUGAUAUUACCGUGAUUGUUGUACAAGUCAACGGAUUGACUGAUGUUGCGGUUGGUCAAUCAACAAGUUCUGAUGUAGUUUUACGACCACCAUUGCCUCAGGUUGUUGAAUUAUCAGGAUCAGAAUCUCCAUCAGUUAUGAACUGGAAUUCCAGGAAUCAACGUGCCAGGCAAGAUAUAUCACGGGCACGAUUGCGUGCUAUUGAGAAUUCCUUAAAGAAUGGACAGAUGUGGGCCCCCCCUUCUCCAGCCCAUAGAAAAACAUGGGAAGAAGAAGCACAGAUUGACCGGGUUUUGCAUGACCACUUUCUUUUUAGAAAGCUUACAGAUUCUCAGUGUCAAGUUUUAUUGGAUUGUAUGCAAAAAGUUGAGGUACAAGCUGGAGAUGUUGUAGUCAAACAGGGUGGAGAAUGUGACUCUUUCUAUGUCAUUGGGAGUGGAGAGUUUGAGGUCUUAGCGACACAGGAUGAGAAGAAUGGAGGAGUUCCAAGGGUUCUUCAGCACUACACGGCUGAUAAGCUGUCAUCCUUUGGAGAGCUGGCUCUGAUGUACAAUAAACCACUCCAAGCUUCUGUUCGUGCUGUCACCAAUGGAAUUUUGUGGGAACUAAAAAGAGAAGAUUUUAGAAAUAUUCUUAUGUCCGAGUUUACUAAUUUGUCUUCGUUGAAGCUGCUGCGAUCUGUAGAUCUUCUCUCAAGAUUGACAAUUUUACAGCUAAGUCAUAUUGCAGAGUUGGUUUCAGAAGUGCCCUUUUCUGAUGGGCAGACAAUAGUAAAUGAGAAUCAGGAACCUAUGGGCCUAUACAUUAUCCAGAAAGGGGUUGUAAAAAUUACAUUUGACAUGGAUUUAGUAAAAUGUGAAAAUGCAUCAAGCCUCAUGUGUGAAAACCAAAAGCAGGAUGAUACACAGAACAAAAAAGGCAUAACAGUUGAAAAGAGUGAAGGGAGCUAUUUUGGGGAAUGGACACUUCUUGGGGAACAAAUAGCCUCCUUGAGUGCCAUUGCUGUGGGUGAUGUGGUAUGCGCUAUCUUAACUAAGGAGAAGUUUGAUUCAGUUGUGGGUUCUUUGGCAAAGCUCUCACAGGAUGAUCUCAAGGCAAAGGGCCAUCAAACAAUUCUCUCUUCAGAGUCUAUCCAGAGCGUUGACACUUCUAUGCUUGCAGAUUUGCAGCUUGCCUAUUUGGAGUGGCAGACUUGUUUGUAUUCAACGGACUGCAGUGAGAUUGGCCUAGUGCGCCUGAAAGACUCAGAUAAACUGCUUAGCUUGAAGAGAUUUUCAAAGCAGAAAAUUAAAAUGCUUGGCAAAGAAGCACAAGUACUAAAAGAGAAGAAUCUAUUGAAGCAAAUGAACAGAGUAGCUUCAGUACCUAAAGUUUUAUGCACCUGUGCUGAUGAAACUCAUGCUGGCAUAAUUCUGGACUCAUGCCUGGCUUGCUCUGUGGUAGCAAUACUUCACAACCCCCUUGAUGAGGAGUCAGCACGUUUCUGUGCUGCAUCCGUUGUCAUUGCCCUGGAAGACUUGCACAAUAAUGGUAUUCUCUAUAGAGGUGUGUCUCCUGAUGUGCUAAUGUUAGACCAAACCGGCCAUAUACAGCUAGUGGAGUUCAGAUUUGCUAAGAAGAUUUCUUCUGAGUCGGAUGAGAGGACAUUUACCAUAUGCGGGAUGGCUGAUUCUCUAGCUCCAGAAAUAGUCCAAGGGAAAGGCCAUGGCUUUGCUGCUGACUGGUGGGCAUUGGGAACAUUGAUCUACUUCAUGCUACAUGGUGAAAUGCCAUUUGGAUCAUGGAGAGAGAGUGAGCUUACAUUUGCAAGGAUUGCUAAAGGACAGUUUACACUUCCACAUACAUUCAGCCAAGAAGCUAUUGAUCUCAUUACCAAGUUACUUCAAGUUGAUGAAAAGCUGAGACUCGGAAGCCAAGGUGUUCACUCUCUGAAAAAUCAUCCAUGGUUUUCUGGUGUUGAUUGGAAAGAAGUAGCAGAUCAUCGAAGUCCUGUUCCUGCAGAGAUUCUAUCUCGUAUAAGUCAACGCUUGGAAAAUCAUGGUGAUGUCAACAUAGCUUCCCUACAUUCCCCUAUUCGGGACUUGGAGGAGCUUAACACUCCAGAGUGGCUUGAAGACUGGUAGCGCGUUUUGAAUAAAGUUUUGCCCAUCACAUUCCAGGAUGCUGCUAGCGGCAAAAUUGACCAGCUUAUUGUUUCAGAACUGUCCUGUUGGAGAAUCAGUCAAAUGAACUGAGUAAGGUGCCGCUUCUAAAUCCUGUUCAUCAACCACGUGGCGGCCUAGGGAGAAAUAUCUUUCUGCUUUUCUUGGACAAUCAUAAGCUUAUGCUACAGGAAUCGCCACUUGGAUUUGAGUCAUUUCGGUGUUCCAAGUCACCAAUUAUUAAAUCUCUAAUCAAGGGAGUUUUGACUUCAAAUAUAGUCCGCGAACGUAGAAGACCAAGUAAGAAAUUUUGUUGACCGAAGAGAAGGUAUUAGGCACUCCUCGAAUUUUGUGGUUCUAGCAUAGUCGCUUUAUUAACUUAAUCUUGACUUAAACUAAUUUAAGAUAUUUUGUGUUUAUUUGGGUUUUAUCUGCUUUUAGUUGCUUGAUCAUUGUAAUUAUGAAAUUAUCUUAGAUCAAGUCACGGGUAUACGUACUUGUUUUAUUUGCGUGUCAAAAAUCAUGUCACGCGCACGUGUACACAAUUAGUGAGACUUUUAUUAUUAUUUUAAAAUUGAUUUGUCAAGUCGUGUGAACGAUUAGUUUGCCCUUUAAUUUAUGGAUCA